UUGAACGCUGGCGGCAGGCCUAACACCUGCCAGUCGAGCGGAUGAAGGGAGCUUGCUCCUGGAUUCAGCGGCGGACGGGUGAGUAAUGCCUAGGAAUCUGCCUGGUAGUGGGGGAUAACGUCCGGAAACGGGCGCUAAUACCGCAUACGUCCUGAGUGAGAAAGUGGGGGAUCUUCGGACCUCACGCUAUCAGAUGAGCCUAGGUCGGAUUAGCUAGUUGGUGGGGUAAAGGCCUACCAAGGCGACGAUCCGUAACUGGUCUGAGAGGAUGAUCAGUCACACUGGAACUGAGACACGGUCCAGACUCCUACGGGAGGCAGCAGUGGGGAAUAUUGGACAAUGGGCGAAAGCCUGAUCCAGCCAUGCCGCGUGUGUGAAGAAGGUCUUCGGAUUGUAAAGCACUUUAAGUUGGGAGGAAGGGCAGUAAGUUAAUACCUUGCUGUUUUGACGUUACCAACAGAAUAAGCACCGGCUAACUUCGUG
rnacentral:rRNA from 1 species